GAGUUUGAUCCUGGCUCAGAUUGAACGCUGGCGGCAGGCCUAACACAUGCAAGUCGAGCGGAUGACGGGAGCUUGCUCCUUGAUUCAGCGGCGGACGGGUGAGUAAUGCCUGGGAAUCUGCCUGGUAGUGGGGGACAACGUUUCGAAAGGAACGCUAAUACCGCAUACGUCCUACGGGAGAAAGCAGGGGACCUUCGGGCCUUGCGCUAUCAGAUGAGCCUAGGUCGGAUUAGCUAGUUGGUGGGGUAAUGGCUCACCAAGGCGACGAUCCGUAACUGGUCUGAGAGGAUGAUCAGUCACACUGGAACUGAGACACGGUCCAGACUCCUACGGGAGGCAGCAGUGGGGAAUAUUGGACAAUGGGACGAAGCCUGAUCCAGCCAUGCCGCGUGUGUGAAGAAGGUCUUCGGAUUGUAAAGCACUUUAAGUUGGGAGGAAGGGCAGUAAGUUAAUACCUUG
rnacentral:rRNA from 1 species